rnacentral:pre_miRNA from 1 species
AUAAUACACCCUCCGUCCGGAAUUACUUGUCAUCAAAAUGGAUGUGUCUAGAACUAAAAUACAUCUAGAUACAUCCAUUUCAAUGACAAGUAUUUUCGGACGGAGGGAGUAGUAG